UAAGGAAAAAAAAAAAAGCAGUAGCACAGAGCGCACUGUAUUAUAAAGUAUGAAGUAUAAAGUAUAAAGUAGGAAGAGGUGUUAGGCACGUGCCAGAUGAACCGCAAAUUUGCUUACCUUCAGUAUAUGUAGAAUGUUCAUCAUCAUCAUCAACAUCAACAUCAUUAUCAUCAGCAUCAACAUCAAGUUAAUAUGUAUCUAAUUUCAGGCCCACAUUAACCUAGAACCCGGUUGCUUCACUAACAGCGGUACCAUAUAAGCAAAAGCAACAAACUUUAAAACGUAAAGAUGCGUCUGUCCUAAAUGGACUGCAAAAAAAUACUAUUUCAAAUGUCAGUGACAUUUGCAGACUCGUAUCAAGAGAGACGACGGGUAUAAAACAGUUUAAAAAUAUAAAAAAGCUGUAAACCCGACAUAACAUCCGACAACGAGGUAAGAUCCAUCUGGUGGAUGCUUUUGAAAGAUCAUCUUCGGGACGUUAAUGGCCGGAAUGAGAAAACACGGACGUAUAAAACGACAUCGCUGCCAACAGGGUAUCAUAAUCGCACCUUCUUCAUAUCUCGGACACAUAUCCGAAGACUGCAUGGUGUACUCGAGACAAGAUGAUCGGCGAGAUCGCGUUUUAUAGAGCGUGGGCGACCCGACAACUCUCAUUCUUGCUCUCUGGUUCUGGUAGAGUGUAUGGUAGGCUACAACCUACAACUGACACUUGGUCGUUUUUGCUAUCUUCCCAUCUUGCUUCUUAUCUUCGAGAGCAUACACGUAGAUUUUUCCCCUACUGAGAUUCUUUUACCCCGAUAAAUACCUGGACUAUACAUAUUAUAUUAAUACAAUACACAUGGGGCUUCAGUUGCAACCUGUAUACCUGGUUAGCCGGGCUCGACAGCCGGACAAAUUCACAGGAGACACGCUUCGAUGAAGAUCAUGCACGAAAGUGUCUAUAUUUAUUUUUUUUAAUAAAAUCUAGCAUGUAUUUCCCAGACUGGAUGGCUUUCUUCUGAUGAAUAUUAAUAAAAUAAAAUUCAAAUAGAAUUGAAACCCAGCCAUUGUCUUUAUACCCGGGGAUUGAAAUGUCUAAGCGACAUUUGGUAUUUGUAAUAAAAAAAGAAAAACUAUUUAUCUAUUGGCUAUUGGCUAUUAUUUAAAGUAUUUAGAGUCAACUGGGAAUUUUAAAAAGAACUUAGUUAACAAUGAUAUUAAAAAUCAUCAUUGUUUUAAGAGAACAUAUAUAUUGAAUAGUAUUUCUCUUACGAAAGCAGUUAAGACCAUGACGAUAUGGUUAUUGGAGCGUUAGCACAGCUGAAUUCAAUGAGGAAACG